GAUGAACGCUGGCGGCGUGCCUAAUACAUGCAAGUCGAGCGAACAGAAGAGGAGCUUGCUCCUCUGACAUUAGCGGCGGACGGGUGAGUAACACGUGGAUAACCUACCUAUAAGACUGGGAUAACUUCGGGAAACAGGAGCUAAUACCGGAUAAUAUAUCGAACCGAAUGGUUCAAUAGUGAAAGACGGUUUUGCUGUCACUAAUAGAUGGAUCCGCGCCGCAUUACCUAGUUGGUAAGGUAACGGCUUACCAAGGCAACGAUGCGAAGCCGACCCGAAAGGGUCGUCGACCACGCUGUAUCUGAGGCACGGCCCAGACUCCUAGGGGAGGCCGCAGUCGGGAAUCUUCCGCAAGGCGCGAAAGCCUGACGUAGCAACGCCGCGUGAGUGAUGAAGGUCUUCGGAUCGUAGAACUCUGUUAUUAGGGAAGAACAAAUGUGUAAGUAACUAUGCACGUCUUGACGGUACCUAAUCAGAAAGCCACGGCUAACUACGUG
rnacentral:rRNA from 1 species